rnacentral:rRNA from 1 species
UGCAAUUGGAUUGAGAACAACGUACAACUCUUAUCGAUAAGCCAUUGGAGGGCAAGUCUGGUGCCAGCAGCCGCGGUAAUUCCAGCUCCAAUAGCGUAUAUUAACGUUGUUGCAGUUAAAAAGCUCGUAGUUGAAGUGAGGGAGUGUGUGUUCAUGAGAGCUAGUUUCGAGUGUUCACAACCUCCCCCCUCCAAUCGGUGUAGUGGGGUAUUCAGUUAUUUCACUACUCCUUUGGUCGUUUACUGUGAGAAAAUUAGAGUGUUCAAAGCGGGCGUUUGUUUGAAUAGAUUAGCAUGGAAUAAUGAUUGAAGGCUUUCGUGUUCGAUUUGAUUGGUUUGUUCAUGGAAGCAAGGUUAAAAGGAACAGUUGGGGGUAUUCAUAUUCACUAGUUAGAGGUGAAAUUCUCGGAUUUAUGGAAGA